rnacentral:tRNA from 1 species
UCCCAGAUAGUCUAGGUGGUUAGGAUAGCUGGCUCUCACCCAGCAGACCCGGCGGGUUCGAGUCCCGGUCUGGGAA